AGUUUGAUUAUGGCUCAGAUUGAACGCUGGCGGGAUGCUUUACACAUGCAAGUCGAACGGCAGCACGGACUUCGGUCUGCUGGUGGCGAGUGGCGAACGGGUGAGUAAUGUAUCGGAACGUGCCUAGUAGCGGGGGAUAAUGCUUCGCGAAAGCGUAGCUAAUACCGCAUACGCCCUUCGAGGAAAGCGGGGACCUUCGGGCCUCGCACUGGCUAGAGCGGCCGAUAUCGGAUUAGCUAGUUGGUGGGGGUAACGGCUCACCAAGGCGACGAUCCGUAGCUGGUUUGAGAGGACGACCAGCCACACUGGGACUGAGGACGUGAACUCUACGGGAAGGCAGCAGUGGGGAAUUUUGGACAAUGGGGGAAACCCUGAUCCAGCCAUCCCGCGUGUGCGAUGAAGGCCUUCGGGGUUGUAAAGCACUUUUGGCAGGAAAAGAAACGGCACGGGAUAUUACCCCGUGCAACUGACAGUACCUGCAGAAUAAGCACCGGCUAACUACGUGCCAGCAGCCGCGGUAGGAGUGCAAGCGUUAAUCGGAAUUACUGGGCGGCAAAGCGUGCAGGCGGUUCCGGAAAGAAAGAUGUGAAAUCCCAGAGCUUAACGGAACUGCAUUUUUAACUACCGAGCUAGAGUGUGUCAGAGAGGAGUGGAAUUCCGCGUGUAGCAGUGAAAUGCGUAGAUAUGCGGAGGAACACCGAUGGCGAAGGCAGCCUCCUGGGAUAACACUGACGCUCAUGCACGAAAAGCGUGGGAGCAAACAGGAUUAGAUACCCUGGUAGUCCACGCCUAAACGAUGUCAACUAGCUGUUGGGGCCUUCGGGCCUUGGUAGCGCAGCUAACGCGUGAAGUUGACCGCCUGGGAAGUACAGGAGGUCGCAAGAUUACAAAACUCAAAGGAAUUGACGGGGACCCGCACAAGCGGUGGAUGAUGUGGAUCAUUCGAUGCAACGCGAAAAACCUUACCUACCCUUGACAUGUCUGGAAUCCCGAAGAGAUUUGGGAGUGCUCGCAAGAGAACCGGAACACAGGUGCUGCAUGGCUGUCGUCAGCUCGUGUCGUGAGAUGUUGGGUUAAGUCCGCAACAGCGCAACCCUUGUCAUUAGUUGCUACGAAAGGGCACUCAAUAGGACUGCCGGUGACAAACCGGAGGAAGGUGGGGAUGACGUCAAGUCCUCAUGGCCCUUAUGGGUAGGGCUUCACGUCAUACAAUGGUCGGGACAGAGGGUCGCCAACCCGCGAGGGGAGCCAAUCCAGAAACCCGAUCGUAGUCGGAUCGCAGUCUGCAACUCGACUGCGUGAAGUCGAGAUCGCUAGUAAUCGCGGAUCAGCAUGUCGCGGUGAAUACGUUCCCGGGUCUUGUACACACCGCCCGUCACACCAUGGGAGUGGGUUUUACCAGAAGUAGUUAGCCUAACCGUAAGGAGGGCGAUUACCACGGUAGGAUUCAUGACUGGGGUGAAGUGUAACAAGGUAG
rnacentral:rRNA from 1 species